UACGAAGGGUGCAAGCGUUGUUCGGAAUCAUUGGGCGUAAAGCGCGCGCAGGCGGAUCAGCAAGUCAGAUGUGAAAUCUCGGAGCUCAACUUCGAAACUGCGUCUGAAACUGCUAGUCUAGAAUAUCGGAGGGGGCAGGGGAAUUUCACGUGUAGGGGUAAAAUCCGUAGAGAUGUGAAGGAACACCGGGGGCGAAGGCGCCUGCCUGGACGAUUAUUGACGCUGAGGCGCGAAAGCGUGGGGAGCAAACAGG
rnacentral:rRNA from 1 species